CAGGUCCAGAAGAGUGCAAUAAAGAAGGUCAAAGGGCUGGAACACCUCUCCUAUGAAGAAAGAUUGAGGGAGUUUGGCUUGUUUAGCUUGGAGAAGAGAAGGCUCCAGGGAGACCUCAUUUUGGCGUUCCAGUACAAGAAGGGAGAUACUGAUUAGGAGAAGGAUUUACUUUUUACACAGUUUGAUGCUGAUGGGACAUUCUCCUGGAUGUACCAUUUUGUUUAUAAUUAAUUGGAUCUCAACAUGUUUUUAUCUAAGAAAAAAGAGAAAACAGAAGCAAAAAACAAAACAAAAUAAAACUUCCAGUUCCUAUAUAAUGCGACCAGGAUUAUUUAUUAUUUUUUUGGGAAUAUUCCACUUUCAUGGAAGGCUACUAUAAUAUAUCAAAGGUUAUUGCUACUUAUUGUCUGAGACUGGUAAUCAAAUCAACAUGAGACUACCAACAUUACUUUGUGGACAAUUUUGCAUAUGAAAGGAUUUCUUUGGAGCUAUUUGCCUUCAAAGGGGAGUGUUCAGGAGUGUUAACUGACCUGGGAGCAAAUAACUCCAGCUUGAUAGCUGGACAUUGGGAGAUGAUACCAUUGUAUCCUGUGAAGAUGGGAUACAAGUUGGCUUCUGCCUGCUUCCUUUUAUUGGCUGACUUAAAUUUGCAAGGCCUGGAAAAUGGGAACAAAGGAAAUCCUGCUGAGACCCCAAAGCCAGAAGCUGUCACUCCAGAAAAAAACUGACUCUACUACUUUGGACUUAUAAAUAAGUUUGUACUGCCAUUGUUAGUAGUCCUCAACUGAGAAACACCACCUGCGACGACCCAUCACUACUAAGAUCAGGAUCUGACACCAAGACAUAUCUGGAUCUAGGAGUGCUUUGGCAAUAUUUUCCAUUACAAAGCAAUUUAUUGAAGGAGUCUAAACCCAUGGAAGUGUCAAAGUCAUUCUUUCUGGUGAAUGGAGAUAUUCUUCAGCAUGAAGGAAUUCAUUGCCUUAGAGUCCACAGAAUUCUUCAAAGACAUGGAGAUACGUGAUGCAAAAUAUCUUUAUGUGUUUUAUUUCCUUUCAAGAACAAAGUUACUGUUUAAAUAAAUCAUAUUGUUAAACU
ensembl:lncRNA